GUGGCUGUAGUUUAGCGGUGAGAAUUCCACGUUGUGGCCGUGGACAUCUGGGCUCGAAUCCUAGCAGCCACA
rnacentral:tRNA from 1 species